GUGUCAGCCGCCGCGGUAAGACGGAGGGCGCGAGCGUUGUUCGGAAUUACUGGGCGUAAAGCGCGCGCAGGCGGAUCUUCAAGUCGGGAGUGAAAUACCGGGGCUCAACUCCGGGGCGGCUUCCGAGACUGAGGGUCUGGGGACCGGUAGAGGCCGGUGGAAUUCCCGGUGUAGCGGUGGAAUGCGUAGAGAUCGGGAAGAACACCCGUGGCGAAGGCGGCCGGCUGGGCCGGAUCCGACGCUGAGGCGCGAAAGCGUGGGGAGCAAACAGGAUUAGAUACCCUGGUAGUCCACGCUGUAAACGAUGGGUGCUAGGUGCCGGGGGGAGCGACCCCUUCGGUGCCGGAGCUCACGCGUUAAGCACCCCGCCUGGGGAGUACGGCCGCAAGGCUGAAACUCAAAGAAAUUGACGG
rnacentral:rRNA from 1 species